UACGUAGGGUGCAAGCGUUGUCCGGAAUUAUUGGGCGUAAAGAGCUUGUAGGCGGUUUGUCGCGUCUGCUGUGAAAUUUCGGGGCUCAACCCUGGGCUUGCAGUGGAUACGGGUAGACUAGAGGCAGGUAGGGGAGAAUGGAAUUCCCGGUGUAGCGGUGAAAUGCGCAGAUAUCGGGAGGAACACCGGUGGCGAAGGCGGUUCUCUGGACAGUUCCUGACGCUGAGGCACGAAGGCCAGGGGAGCAAACGGGG
rnacentral:rRNA from 1 species